UACAGAGGGUGCAAGCGUUAUUCGGAAUCACUGGGCGUAAAGGGCGCGUAGGCGGUCCCUUAAGUCAGGCGUGAAAGCCCGGGGCUAAACUCCGGAAGUGCGUCUGAAACUAGGGGGCUUGAGUACGGGAGAGGGAAGUGGAAUUCCUGGUGUAGAGGUGAAAUUCGUAGAUAUCAGGAGGAACAUCGGUGGCGAAGGCGACUUCCUGGACCGAUACUGACGCUGAGGCGCGAAAGCGUGGGGAGCAAACAGG
rnacentral:rRNA from 1 species